rnacentral:lncRNA from 1 species
CAGGGAACAAGAUGGAAUCUUUGACUUUUGUCUAGUCCGAUAUCUGAGGGAAGAUUCUAGAAUCAAGUUCUGCCUUCUUCCCUGAGAAGCUUCAUAGGGUAGAGAAAUGCUUAUUAAGCACUUUGGGCCAGGGAUAAGGCUGAUAUAACAGAACAACAGCCCCUGCCAUCCGAGGGUUUCCAUUCUAUUUGGGAAGGAUGAGCUGAAAGGGGGAGAGAUGGAAAAGAAGAGGAAAGAUGGAAAAGUAAUGAGCUGAGCUUGGUUUGAAGUGAGGAUGAGUGGCAUGGAUACUUCCUCAAUAUGGAGGUUCUGAAAGUUCUCACCAAUCAGAGGGGGAGCUAUAAGGGUGGUUGGGUUACCAGUUUGAGAAAGUCUUCAUGAAUGACUCAGUCUCUCUGUGCCUUGAUUUUCCUGUUUUCCAGAGAGGAGGAUAAAGCUGUACACAAAGACAUAAUGAAGUAUGCAGUAGAAAGAACAUUGGAUUGUGUGACCCUGGGCAAGUCACUUAACCCCCAUUGGAACCAAUAUAUAAUAGAGAUUCCAAGAUGGAAGAAUGAUGAACUGGAGGGAUUCCAUGUGAACUGGAACAACCUCCAGGAAGUGAUGCAGAGUGAAAGGAGCGGAACCAGGAGAACCUUAUACACAGCGAUGGAUACACUGUGGUACAAUCAGAUAUAAUAGACUUCUCUACUAGCAGCAAUGCAAUGAUCCAGGACAAUUCUGAGGGACUUAUGAGAAAGAUCACUAUCCACAUCCAGAGGAAGAACCGUGGGAGCAGAAACACAGAAGAAAAACAUCUGCUUGAUGAUGUGGUUUGAUGGGGAUAUGGACUCUAAAGGAUCACUCUAUUGCAAAUAUUGAUAAUAUGGAAAUAGGUUUUGAACAAUGAUACAUGUAAAACCCAGUGGAAUUUCUCAUUGGCUACAGGAGAGGGGGAGGGAAAGAACAUGAAUCAUGUGACCAUGGAAAAUAUUCUAAAUUAAUUAAAAAAUGAAAAAUAAAAAAACAAAAACAAACA